AACAGUUUAAGUGCUGGGCAGCACGCUGCGGGGGGAGGACUGGUGUUUAUACUGGGAACAAAGGACGUGAUGGCUAAGGAGCAAUUCCACUUAGCCGGAAAGAUGUUUGUGACAAGAUUUUCUUCCCACAAGCACACCACUGACAUGGAAAAUAAACAAGGCAGGGGCAGAUCCAGCCACUCAGAGACUUUCAGCUUCAUGGGGACUGCAUUCCAUUUGUUACCUCCACCACAGACUAAUUGACUUGAGCAGUACCAAGGCUGCCAUUCCUCGUAUCUCUUGUUCAUAAACUCAAGGAUUCCUAUUCAUAAAAGACUGAAGAUGACCCCCGCCCCCUCAUCCUAUUUUCAGCUGUACAGAAGAAGUGUUCUAUACAGUUUCUGACUUUCUUUUUAAUGCAAUUAAAAUCCAAAACGAGGACAUUUUAGUGAACUUGGUC